GGCUGGAUAGCUCAGUGGUUAGAGCUACCGGUAUAUAACUGGGAGGUCGUUGGUUCAAUCCCAACUCCAGGCA